AGCAGCCGCGGUAAUUCCAGCUCCAAUAGCGUAUAUUAAAGUUGUUGCAGUUAAAAAGCUCGUAGUUGAAUUUCGGGGUUAGCAGGUCGGUCGUGCCAUCGGUAUGAACUGGUCUCGCUGAUCCCUCCCUCUUGACGAACUGUGAUGCCAUUAAUUUGGUGUCGCAGGGAAUCAGGACUGUUACUUUGAAAAAAUUAGAGUGUUUAAAGCAGGCUCACGCUUGAAUACAUUAGCAUGGAAUAAUGAAAUAGGACGUUUGAUCCUAUUUUGUUGGCUUCUAGGAUUGACGUAAUGAUUAAUAGGGAUAGUUGGGGGCAUUAGUAUUCAAUUGUCAGAGGUGAAAUUCUUGGAUUUAUUGAAGACUAACUACUGCGAAAGCAUUUGCCAAGGAUGUUUUCAUUAAUCAAGAACGAAAGUUAGGGGAUCGAAGACGAUCAGAUACCGUCGUAGUCUUAACCAUAAACUAUGCCGACUAGGGAUCGGAUGAUGUUAAUUUUUUAAUGACUCCGCCGGCACCUUA
rnacentral:misc_RNA from 1 species